AGCCGUAAACCCAAGUAAUUAAUGAACAAAAUUACUCGCCAGAGCACUACAAGCAACAGCUUAAAACUCAAAGGACUUGGCGGUGCUUUAUAUCCCUCUAGAGGAGCCUGUUCUAUAAUCGAUAAACCCCGAUAAACCUCACCACUUCUUGCUAAUUCAACCUAUAUACCGCCAUCCUCAGCAAACCUUGUUAAGGCCUCAAAGUAAGCAAAAACACAGACAUAAAAACGUUAGGUCAAGGUGUAGUCUAUGGAGUGGAAAGAAAUGGGCUACAUUUUCUAAUACAAGAACAAUUCCCCAACAGCAGCCUUUAUGAAAUUAAAAGCUAAAGGAGGAUUUAGCAGUAAAUUAAGAAUAGAGAGCUUAAUUGAAUAGGGCCAUGAAGC
rnacentral:rRNA from 1 species